UUGAUUCUCUCUUAUUCCUAGUCAUUCAAAUCAAAAAUGGCAGGCUGCAAGUGGGUUGUAGUAUGCCUGAGUGCAUCCAAAUUUGGGCUUUAGCUCACAAAGGUUAUGCAAGCAGAGUAUGAACUGAUGGGCUUGAAGAUUAUUGAGCAAGCAGCAACUCAAGUUAGAGGCUUUUCAGUGAAAGGUAGGCUACCUGGUGUGAGUUUUGUUUUUUUUCCAACAGGUGCUUAUUUUUCAGGCAGUGCAGCAGUACAAUAGAGUGUUGGACCUGGCAUUAGGAAGUGAUGAAUUCAAAUCAUGCCUCAGAUACUUGCUAGCUGUGUGACCCUGGGCUAGGAGCAAUGAAGUUUCUGAAUGUUUGACACAAAGCUUUAAGAAAGGUUCCAUAUGCUGUGGAUUUCACUCUUGAUAUCACUGAAUUUAAUGAGAAAAUGGAAAUAUCAAGAAAGGUGGAGCUGCAACAAUCUCUGAAGAUUAGAAAAUUACACAUCCCUCUUAGUUUUCCUGGCUUCCUUCAAGACUCAAUUCAAAGCAGAUCUUCUGCAAGAGGCUACUCCUGGUCCCCACCAGCUACUAGCACUUCCCUUUCUCUAAUCACCUUCCAUUUAUUUUCUAUAUAACGUGUCAUUCCCUCAGCAUUUACAAGCUGUCCACCCUAUUCACAUGUUAGUUCUAUGAUAGCUUGGACUCUUUUUGCCUUUCUCUUAUUUUUCUAGUUCUUGGAACAGUAUCUGGUACGUAUUGUUCAGUUAUUCAAUCAUGUCCAAUCCAUGAAUGAGUCCCCAUGGACAAGUUUCCUUGGAAAAGAUGUUGGAAUAGUUUGCUAUUUCCUAGUCCAUUGUGUUCCCAUUUUACAGGGAAGAAACUAAGGCAAAUAGGAAUUAUGUGAUUUGCCCAGGGUCACACUAGUAAGCUACUUAGGCAGGGUUUAAAUUUGGAUCCAACUCCAGGUGAGUACUCUACCUGCUGCACUACCUAGCUGCCCACAGUUAGCAUUUAAUAAAAACUUA
rnacentral:lncRNA from 1 species